rnacentral:lncRNA from 10 species
CUUAUAUGAGAUGUAUGCAGAGAUACUUCAUGUUAUCCUGCAACUAAUAGAAGAAAGAAACAUGGAGAAAAUGGAGCAGAUAUUCAAAGUAACUGUAUUUGACUUUGGUUAGCAAUGAUACAGACUUGGCAGGCAUAAAACUGACUGUGCCAUUCUGACACCCUCACUCUCUCAGCAGGUCUGAUUUACUCCUGAUGUUCACUUCUGGUGAGUUAAUAUAUUACAGCAGUUUAGAAUUAAUUGCACCCUGUUGUAUAAGUUAAUUCUCAUUUAAUUCUUUUUCUUAAUCUUACUAGCUUUUGGCUUCAUAAUUCUAUUAAAAUGGGGCAGUAUAUAGAAACAUAAGCUGUAUCAGAAAAAUAGCUUAACUAAUUUAAUUUGUUUUCUUAAAAUUGGCUGGUUUUUGCAUCAUAAUGCCAUUCAAAAUGGGAUGGUCUAUAGAAACAUAUACAAGCUGUAUUAGAAAAUAGCUGGGCUUAAAGGCAUUUUAUGAUAUAGAAGCGAUUUUCACCCGAUUUACUAUUUUUCCCCUGAAAUCAAAUAUCAAUAUAAUUAGUCUGCAAUUGUGGGAAUCAACCUUCUUCGUUUUAAAUAUGAGCAUGAUGAUGUAUUCCUGUAGUCCUGGCUACUCAGGAAGCUGAGGUGGGAGGAUUGACAACCCAGGAGGGCUCAUAGUUGCCAUGCCAUUCUUAAUUUUUUUAAUAAAAGAUUUUUUUGAAGUAUAGUGUAUAUAUAGAAAAGUAUCCAGGCUUUAAGAGCCCAGUUUGAUGAAUUUUCAUAAAGUGAAUACAUCCAUGUGCCUACAACUCAUGUAAAAAAGCAGAAUGUUGGCAACCAGACCCCCUUCCUCAUACUCCUUUUUAUUUUAUUUUUAGUUAUUAUUAUUAUUAUUAUUAUUAUUUGUAGAGACGAGGUCCCACUAUGUUGCCUAGGCUGGUCUUGAACUCCUGGGCUCAAGUGAUUCUCCCAUCUUGGCCUCCCAAAGUGUUGGGAUUAUAGGUGUGAGCCACCAUGCCCCACCUCAUACUCUCUUUUAGUUACCGUUCUCCCAAAGGUAACCUGACUUCUAAUGCCACGGGUAACUUUGCUUGUCUUUGCAAUUGAUUAGUAUGUAAUUUUGUGUGUACAUCUACUUUUGUUUUUGAGAUCAUCAACACAGUUGAAUGUAGC